AAGCGCCAACUAUUGCAACCACCGUUAGUCCCUUACAGUUCUCAAUAAUUGCCUAUCUCAAGUUAACAUAAGAUCAUUGGCUCCAAGGUGAGGAUGAAAGCAAACACGAACCUCAUGUUCUUCUGGUCCCUCACGAAGUUUUGGCACAAGAAUCUCCAAUGCAGAUCCUGGCCCAUCAUAGUAGGCUUCUAUGUUAGCAUCCUCAGGAAUUCUAGUCGAAAGUGGGAUUUCUCUAACAAACUCCCC
rnacentral:misc_RNA from 1 species